rnacentral:rRNA from 1 species
GGUGAACGCUGGCGGCGUGCCUAAGACAUGCAAGUCGAGCGGGCCGCGGGGUUUUACUCCGUGGUCAGCGGCGGACGGGUGAGUAACGCGUGGGUGACCUACCCGGAAGAGGGGGACAACCCGGGGAAACUCGGGCUAAUCCCCCAUGUGGACCCGCCCCUUGGGGUGUGUCCAAAGGGCUUUGCCCGCUUCCGGAUGGGCCCGCGUCCCAUCAGCUAGUUGGUGGGGUAAUGGCCCACCAAGGCGACGACGGGUAGCCGGCCUGAGAGGGUGGCCGGCCACAGGGGCACGGCGACACGGGCCCGACUCCUACGGGAGGCAGCAGUUAGGAACAUUCCGCAAUGGGCGCAAGCCUGACGGAGAGACGCCGCUUGGAGGAAGAAGCCCUUCGGGGUGUAAACUCCUGAACCAGGGACGAAACCCCCGACGAGGGGACUGACGGUACCGGGGUAAUAGCGCCGGCCAACUCCGUG